ACUGUAAACCAAAACCCUCGCCCUCCUUUUCUUACAUAUAUCAUAUUAAGGGAAAUUUUGAAAAGAAAAGGCAAUUACAUAAUAGCAACGUCAGGAAUACCAUAUUAAAACCAUUCAAAGAAGGAAACCCCACAAGUAGGUGAGGCUGCUGAGAAACUGCUGUUUACAAGUAGGUGAGGGACAGUGAUAGGCUCACCCUCAAGCUAAUUUAUACGGAGCAGCAAAGAACGUCAAGCCGGAACCGUCUGCAGGAACCGUCAAGCCUUGGAGAUUUUGACAAGCAGGAACCGUCUGCACACAGAGGGAGAAAAACACCACACAAGAACGUCAAGCCUUCGAAUGUUGGAGACUCAAUUGCUAUUUCAACCAAACCAACAUUUGCAUAAAUUAAUCAGUAAAACCCAUCUCAUAAAAUCAGAGAUAUUGAGAGUUAUUGGAGACUAAACAAAACCCAUCUCAUAAUCAUAAAUUAAUCAGUCAAGCCUUCGAAUGUUGAAGCCUUCGAACGUCAAGCCUUCGAAUGUUGGAGACUAAACAAAACCCAUCUCAUAAAAUCAGAGAUAUUCAUAAAUUAAUCAGUAACCAGAGACCAACAUUUGCAUCAGGUGAGCUAAAUUCAAUAAAUUAAUUAAAUCAAUUCAACCUUAAUUUUGCAUCAGACCAACUAAAUUCAGUAACCAGGCCAACAUUUGCAUCAGCUAAAUUCAGUAACCAGACCAACAUUUGCAUCAGAAACCCUUACCUUGAAUUUGAGACUUGAUUCGCGUCGGCUUCGAGAUUCGUGUGGCUGCGGUUCUGGGUUCAAGAUUUGGGGAUCAAGGCGAAAAGGAGAGAUAGAGGAGAUGAGGACUACGGGAAGAGUAGAUGAGGAUUAUGGAAAGGGGAGAUAGAGUGACGGGGAAGAUAGAGCGAGAGGGCGA
rnacentral:lncRNA from 1 species